GAUGAAGAACGCAGCGAAAUGCGAUAAGUAAUGUGAAUUGCAGAAUUCAGUGAAUCAUCGAAUCUUUGAACGCACAUUGCGCCCGCCAGUAUUCUGGCGGGCAUGCCUGUUCGAGCGUCAUUUCAACCCUCAGGCCCCCAGUGCCUGGCGUUGGGGAUCGGCGCGGCGCCCUCCGGGGCGCUGCCGGCCCCGAAAUUCAGUGGCGGUCUCGCUGUAGCCCUCCUCCGCGUAGUAGCACAACCUCGCGGCCUGGAGCUCGGCGGUGGCCAUGCCGUAAACCACCCCCCUUCUGAAAGUUGACCUCGGAUCAGGUAGGAAUACCCGCUGAACUUAAGCAUAUCAAUAAGCGGAGGA
rnacentral:misc_RNA from 1 species